rnacentral:rRNA from 1 species
CGCAAACGUGAGGCUAACCCUAGAUAGCAAAGAGGUACUGGAAAGUCCUCUUUGUGAAACGCUUAGGCGCCAUAGGAUGAGGCCGCGGCUGAUUAGGUCGUUGGUGAGGUAACGGCUCACCAAGCCGAUAAUCAGUAGCGGGCGUGAGAGCGCGAGCCGCCAGUCGGCUUCUGAGACAAGAAGCCGGACCCUACGGGGUGCAGCAGGCACGAAACCUUCACAAUGCACGCAAGUGCGAUGGGGGGACUCCGAGUGUGGUCUUCCCACAAGGAAGGCCACUUUUCUGCACUGUAAGGAGGUGCAGGAACAAGGGGUGGGCAAGACGGCUGCCAGCCGCCGCGGUAAUAGCCGCACCCCAAGUGGUGGUCACUAUUAUUGGGCUUAAAGUGUUCGUAGCCGGUCAUGUAAGUCCGCUGUGAAACCCAAGCGCUCAACGUUUGGAUGCGCAGCGGAUACUGCAUGACUAGGGACCGGACGGUGCUGAGGCUAUUCCAGGGGGAGGAGUGAAAUCCUAAAAUCCCUGGAGGAGCACCUGUGGCGAAAGCGCUCAGCAAGGACGGAUCCGACGGUGAGGAACGAAAGCCAGGGGAGCAAAGCGGAUUAGAUACCCGCGUAGUCCUGGCCGUUAACAUUGUCCGUUUGAUGUCGGCUAACCUUCGAGGUUAGCCGGUGCCUAAGUGAAAACAUUAAACGGACCGCCUGGGUAGUACGGUCGCAAGGCGUAUACUGA